rnacentral:rRNA from 1 species
AAUAUUGGACAAUGGGGGCAACCCUGAUCCAGCCAUGCCGCGUGUGUGAAGAAGGNCUNNGGAUUNUNAAGCUCUGUCCUCAGNNNNNAAGAAAGUGACGGUACCUAAGGAGGAAGCCCCGGCUAACUACGUGCCAGCAGCCGCGGUAAUACGUAGGGGGCCAGCGUUGUCCGGAAUUAUUGGGCGUAAAGGGUGCGUAGGCGGCCUUUUAAGUCAGAUGUGAAAGCCCACGGCUUAACCGUGGGACUGCAUUUGAAACUGGAGGGCUUGAGUAUCGGAGAGGGUAGUGGAAUUCCCAGUGUAGCGGUGGAAUGCGUAGAUAUUGGGAGGAACACCAGUGGCGAAAGCGACUACCUGGACGAAAACUGACGCUGAGGCACGAAAGCUAGGGGAGCAAAC